GCCAGCCAGCUAUAACAACCUGCGACUCACAACUGACAACCCACUGAAGCCAAGCAGGUGUGAGCCUGGUCAGUACCUGGAUGGGAGACCUCCUGGGAAAAACUAAGGUUGCUGCUGAAA
rnacentral:rRNA from 1 species